rnacentral:piRNA from 1 species
UAGAAUUAGGACUCCCGAAUU